CCCCCCCCCCCCCCCCCCCCCCCCCCCCCCCCCCCCCCCCCCCCCCCAGGAGGUCACAGGGGUGUGGCGUUCCUGAGGCAUGGGGGUGUGGGGUCCCGGGGGUGUAGGGAUCGGGGUUCCCCGGGGAAUGAGGUCCCAGGGGUAUGGGGUCCCGGCAGCGUGGGGCUCUGGGGUCCCAAAGGUGUGGAGUCCAGGCACCUGUCAGCUUUGGGCUACAGAAGAGUGAGGAGAUGGUCAUGGCUUGGAGUGGGCCCAGCACCAGCGCUCCCCUUAGGUACCUGCAGUCCCUUGGCCCUAAAAUGCAUAUACAUAGGAGCUCAGGAGCCUGCCAUACCCAGGAACUGAGGACUUAACCAGGAAUCAGCUGGUCAGGCCACCUUCCUCUCCUGCUGUCGUUUUUUAACAGUGGAUACUCAGUCUGCUUUCUGCCAUCACCUCCACCUGUACAGGGCAACAGCACAGAUGUGAGAGAGGUUAUUGAGAAAGGAUAGUAUCUCCCAGUACUGCCUUGUCUAUUUGCAUAAGAGCUAUCUUAGAUCUGGAAAACAGUCUAAUGUGGCUGCAGUUCCAAGGGGAACUCAUGGUGGGAGGAGCACAAAAACAAAUGGACGUACAUAUUGCAUUUCAGUUCCUCAUGCUGAAUAUUGAUGCAUAGUGUGUACAACACCAGGCCUGUGCAGCCAAAUCCUACCUGAUCCCCUAGCCCUGAUGCAGGGGAUGAGAAAUGCUUCCCAGUCUGCUGGGUCAAAUGCAGACGAGGUCUAGGCAUCGAGUUGAGACUUGCCCAGCCAUUUCACAACCCUAGGCAGGUCCAAUUCCAAGAAAAUAAGAGCAAGGUUAAGUUCUGCAUCCUCCUUCAUUAUUACCCCCAGCUGAGGAGCAUCCUUCACAGGUGCCUUCCUGCUCCCAAAUGUACCUUUGUCAUGA
rnacentral:lncRNA from 12 species